CAUGCCUACGGGGGGCAGCAGUGGGGAAUAUUGCACAAUGGGGGAAACCCUGAUGCAGCAACGCCGCGUGAGUGAAGAAGUAUUUCGGUAUGUAAAGCUCUAUCAGCAGGGAAGAAGAUGACGGUACCUGACCAAGAAGCCCCGGCUAACUACGUGCCAGCAGCCGCGGUAAUACGUAGGGGGCAAGCGUUAUCCGGAUUUACUGGGUGUAAAGGGAGCGCAGACGGCAGUGCAAGUCUGUAGUGAAAGUCCGGGGCCCAACCCCGGAACUGCUUUGGAAAGUGUGAG
rnacentral:rRNA from 1 species